UGCACUGUCCAGAGCAGCAGCAGCAGCAGAUACACAAAGAAAUUCAAUUCAAUUCACAAACUUUUUCAUCAAAAAACCAAUUUUCGUUUCUAUUUAAUUUAUUCAAUUUUGAAAAUGCCUUCAAAGAAGAAGAAUCAGAAGUCAGCAUCAAGGCUUUCACAGUCAGAAGUUAGUUCUAUAACUACUCACUCAGUUUCAUCGGACGGUGAAGAAUUCAGUGAAGAAGAGAUUAGAAGGUUCCGUCUUGAAGAAGCUUCUAGAAAGUUCCCGUCUUUGAUUUCGAAAACAGCUUUUAUUGGUCGAAUUUCAGAAGAUGCUGUUGAAACUGUGGAUACUAAAGGCUGUAAAAUUUGGCUUUCCGAAUCUUCCAUGCUUUCUUCUUCUAUUUCCCCUGGCUCCAUUGUAUCGGUAUCCCUUGCUUCUUCGAGGAAAUAUGAAAGUAACUUCCUGCUUAGCUCAUUAGUAGAUGAGUGUACACGGCAUUUUGGGCUUGAGGAUACAGAAAACGUGGCCCAUGAAGCAGGAAACUUCUUUGCUCUUGCGACUGUUUUCCCUUCUUGUAAGGUUUUAAAAGAUGGAGCACGAUUAUCUUCAAGCCUCUCAUGGAGUAUGGGUUCUCCUGCCUCAGGUAGGAUCAUUUUUGUUCAUCCUAUCGGGGAUCAUACCAUAAGAAGUAUUGCAAAUGGAAGCAAUCGACUGUCCAAUGAUAAAGUUAGUUCCCUUUCCGUUAGUAAAUGCGAGGAACUAUCUUUGUUGCUGGUAUCUCGUAAUGGAAAAUCUGCGAUAAACAGCUCCAUAUCCCCUCAAUAUUCAACCACUGAAACAAUAAAUGAUCGAGCUGAGUCUAUGAGGGUUUCAUCUCCAAGGACUCCAUUACACUCUCAUUCUAGACUUAAUUCUCCUGGCACCAGGGAGUUCAAUACGCCCAAGGAUCAAGAAUCAGUGUCAAUUUUUUCUGAUGUAGGUGGCACGUCUAGCAACAUAUUCAAUAUAAGAGAAGUUUUGGUAGAUGACCAUUCAAAGAAACUUGUACAAACCUGUACAGCUUCGUGGUUGUAUUCUCGUAUUUUACUCUCUGGAAAUCUUGUGAUUGCCCCACUGCUUUCAAGGCUGUGUUUUUUCCAAGUUACAGGUGCUUCUCCUCAACAAAGUUUGGGGGAGUAUGCGAAUGUUGCUUUCUCUGUAGAUCACAAAACAAAAGUAGUUCUACAUUUACCCCAGAAUACUGAUAUGGGAACUCCCAUUAGAAGAUUAUCACCAUCAGAGCUUGAACAUAGAAAUAUCAACAGUAAGGAUGGAGUUGACUACCCAAAAUUGGGUGGUCUUUCUGAAGAAUUUGCAGUUCUAAUGGACAUAAUAAUAUCAUCAGCUGUGAAAGGUACUAUGGCUAGCAUGGGUUUACGGCCUACAAAGGGAGUACUUCUUCAUGGCCCACCUGGAACUGGAAAGACUGCUUUGGCGCGAUUAUGUGCUCAUGAAGCUGGUGUAAACCUAUUCUCUGUCAAUGGGCCUGAAGUAAUUAGUCAAUAUUAUGGCGAAAGUGAACGGGCACUGAACGAGGUCUUUGAUUCAGCGAGUCAAGCAGCUCCUGCCGUGGUCUUCAUUGAUGAGUUGGAUGCCAUUGCACCUGCUCGUAAAGAUGCAGGUGAAGAGCUUUCCCAAAGAAUGGUAGCUACAUUGUUAAACUUGAUGGAUGGAAUAAGAAGAGCUGAUGGAGUACUUGUUAUUGCUGCAACCAAUCGACCUGACAGUGUUGAACCAGCUCUUAGACGACCUGGAAGACUUGACAGGGAAAUUGAAAUAGGCGUACCGUCUGCCAGACAACGGUAUGAAAUACUACAUACACUGAUGAGUGAAAUGGAACAUGCUCUUCUGGAAAAGGAUGUUCAAGACCUUGCAACAGCUACACAUGGUUUUGUGGGCGCUGAUCUAGCUGCUCUGUGCAACGAAGCAGCUUUGAAUUGUCUUCGUGAACAUGUUGAGUCAAAGACAUGCUUUGGCAAUACUCAUAGUAAACCUUCCAUUCCAGCAUUUGAUGGACGCCUUGGCAGGAAUGGUACCCAUUGCUUGCGAGAUAAUAAAGACCUCUCUUCUGACAGUGAUUUCGAGGGUGCAUCUUCAUCUAUUUCAGAAGCAUGUAUCUCAUCAGAUAUUCCAAGAAACUUUACUUGCGUGGAACAAACAGACACUCUUAGGAUCACUUAUAAGGAUUUUGAAAAGGCUAGAAUGAAAAUAAGGCCAAGUGCCAUGAGAGAGGUUAUACUUGAGGUUCCAAAGGUAAGCUGGAAUGAUGUUGGAGGACAGAGGGAGGUGAAGAUGCAGCUCAUAGAAGCUGUUGAAUGGCCUCAGAAACACCAGGAGGCUUUCAAGCGCAUUGGCACUCGUCCCCCUACUGGAGUUUUGAUGUUCGGUCCUCCAGGAUGCAGCAAAACGUUGUUAGCUCGUGCGGUUGCUUCCGAAGCAGGGUUGAACUUUCUUGCAGUGAAGGGCCCUGAGCUUUACAGUAAAUGGGUGGGGGAAUCAGAAAAAGCUGUCAGAACUUUAUUUGCAAAGGCUAGGGCAAAUGCUCCCUCAAUUAUAUUUUUUGAUGAAAUAGAUGGCCUUGCUGUUGUACGUGGCAAAGAAAGUGAUGGGGUUUCUGUGGCAGAUCGGGUCAUGAGUCAACUUCUUAUUGAAUUAGAUGGUUUGCACCAGAGAGUUAAUGUCACUGUUAUUGCUGCAACAAAUCGGCCAGACAAGAUUGACCCUGCUCUUCUAAGACCAGGACGCUUUGAUCGAUUGCUGUAUGUCGGACCUCCGGAUGAAAAAGACAGGGAGGCAAUAUUCCACAUACAUUUGCAGAAGAUGCCAUGCAGUUCUGACAUAUGCAUUAAAGACCUAGCCCGGCUAACGAGCGGCUGUACUGGUGCUGACAUAUCUCUGAUAUGUCGUGAAGCAGCUAUUGCAGCAAUUGAAGAAAGCCUUGAUGCCUCUGAAAUAACAAUGAAACAUCUGAAGGCCGCCAUUAGACAAGUGCCUCCAUCUGAAGUUCAUUCAUACCAAGAAUUAUCAAAUAGGUUUCAGAGGCUUGUGCACUCAAACUCUGUGAAAGAUGAUUAGUGUCACCAAUGAUUACUAAUACAGAUCAAGUCGAAUUCCAUGCUGCAUGGUCCUCCUGGAAUGCGGACACUUGAUGUCACAAUAUCAUGAUUGGAGUCUUUGCACAGAUGGAUGCUGUUGCCAUUGUUUACAUAUGCUGCCUUUCACGAAUCUGCAUACCAUUUUAGCUCCAGAAAUAUACAGCACGAAGAACAUAUUUGGAAUUGAUCUCCAAAAGCUGUUGAUUAGAUGCAUCAAGGGAGAGUCCGUUCUGUAUAGUGAAGGUCAUGAACUUCUGGUUGCAGAAGCCAUCAAUGGCAAGCCAGAAUGAGCACCUAUUGGUCGCUACAGGGAGGGCAAUGUUUCAGGAAUUGAUAUUUCAGUCUGAUCCUUCGACAAAUUGUUUGCAAUCAAGGCGUCCAUACUCAUGAAAUGUUUGAUAUGAUGCUGUUAUUAAGUAGAUAGAGAGGGAGCUCCACUAUCGGUAUACAUCUGGGGUUUGACAAGAAAACCAGAAGUCUGCAGCAUAUACAAUGCCAGUUUCAUUCAUUCAUGGUAUCUUUUGUAUUAUGCAUAAACAUUUUUGUUAGCUAUAUACAACCAAAGUGGGUUUACAUUAAUAUUCUGAUUGAACAGGUCUUUCACAUCCUUUAUAUGUAAGCCAAAUCACAGAUUAGCUAAUGUUGAUUGGUGAUGUUUUCACUA